UACAAGGUACUUACUGGAAAGUCAAUUCUCGUCGGGGACUUUUCAGAAAUCUCAUUGAUACAGAUAUUUAUGAAGGAAUCACGUACACCUGUAUGGAGUGUCCUAUAAAAGCCAGGCAGUUCCGAUAGUGUACAUACAUCUGAAAUAUCCUCUCUAUACAGGAAAGUUUCAACGAUCUCUUCGUGGACACAAUGACGCCUCUACGUUUCGCUGUUGUCUUCGUCCUCCUCUUUGGUGUAUUUGUCGCCAGUGAAGCUGCACCUGAAGGACACGAGCUUGAACGUCGUGACGAUGACUUCGGUGUCUGCACUUGUGUUCAGGGUAUUACAUGCCCUCAUAACAUCCCUUGCACAAAGUUUAGCGAGUGUAAGAAAUGCUUCGUUCUCGGUGGACUAAAACAUGACUGACCGGCAACCCUUAACAACGAAACGAUCAACUGCACGUAUAUGAAAUAAGAGUCCCUGGCAUUCUCUUUCACCAACAUGAUCAUGGGUGGCGGGAACUUUUGAGGGCAAUAAAUUGUACUAAGCAGCAGA